CAGUAGCCGCGGGAAUACGUAGGUGGCGAGCGUUGUCCGGAAUUAUUGGGCGUAAAGGGAGCGCAGGCGGACAUAUAAGUCCAUCUUAAAAGUGCGGGGCUCAACCCCGUGAGGGGAUGGAAACUGUAUGCCUUGAGUGCAGGAGAGGAAAGCGGAAUUCCCAGUGUAGCGGUGAAAUGCGUAGAUAUUGGGAGGAACACCAGUGGCGAAGGCGGCUUUCUGGACUGCAACUGACGCUGAGGCUCGAAAGCCAGGGGAGCGAACGGGAUUAGAUACCCGCGUAGUCCCUGUCUCUUAUACA
rnacentral:rRNA from 1 species